rnacentral:lncRNA from 1 species
CUCUUUCCUUGGCUGCUCAGGUCAUAGGUGCUGCAAUCUAGAGACAAAAUAUUCCUUACACUGCCAGAUACUUGCAAACUAAGGGGAACGAGCUUCCCUCUGAAUGUUUAUGAAGGAGAGACCACUGUGAGGAUAGACAGUGAAGUGCAACUACAGCCCGCAAAUGAAAAUGAAUAAAAUUAAUCCAGCCCCUCAAGGCAGUCAUCUGUCUUAGAGCUAUUGGAAUCCUGGAUCAUUGUGGGAAAUGAAAAGAACUGGUUUUUAGCAAGGAGACCAAGAAACUCUACUCCCUAGGGGCUAGCAAUGAGAGAAAGGAAGCCUUGAGUCUUUGAGCACAGGGUGACAGUUUGGGUCCUAUGUGAGAUGAUCAAAUCCACAGCAACAGAGGAAAGGACAAAAGGAAAAGGUCUGUAGCAGCACUACAUCAGAAAAAAUGGAUUCCGCAAGGAAGUGGGUGACUCUGAAUACUUCGAUGGAAUCAGCAGCCAUUGAUCCAAUGCCAACUCCAAGACUGGAACGUCGCAAUGAUAGUUCCAAGGCGGAAAUUUGACGUAAUUCUUUUCGACACAGUUUUACAGGCAUCUUGCAUGUGAAUAACUCACAACUUUAAUUCAUGGAACAAAUUGAGAAAUAGUCUUUUGGGGGUUUGGUACUCCCUGGAAACAUAAGAGUGCUUUGGGCACCUCUGGUGCCUUUCCAUGCCUGCCUUCUCUGCUGUUCUUGCUACUAGUGAAUUCUAAAUCAUGGCCAAGUGAUGCCAGCACUGGAUAAUAUUGGCUCUGCCCCAUAUCUCGAGGGAAAACUCUGGGACUUGGCAUUAUAUGUGUGGGAAUCUGGCCUUGGUUGGCACUCCCAGCAUGAUAGCAGGGUUCUGCUGUCUGAAUGUACUCUGGGGUGUGCGCCACAAUUUCUGUCAUCGAAAUGGAGAUGAGAGAAUAUGCCCUUGGUGGGGACACCCCACUGGAAUUAGAGUGAAGAGAUCAAAGCUAGAGGUUCUUAAAUCAAAGAAUGUCUAAUAGCAAAGACAAAAACUUGCUUAAGAGAAAUGCAUACAGGUACUAGACCUAAUAUGAUGAAAAAUGCUAACUUCAACAUAUUGAUGCAUGCUUAGUAUACUUUUAGUCCUGCAAAGACAAAAGUUUUUUGUUUGUUUUUUUUUGAGACGGAGUCUCGCUCUGUCGCCCAGGUUGGAGUGCAGUGGUGUGAUCUCGGCUUACUGCAAGCUCUGCCUCCUGGGUUCACACCAUUCUCCUGCCUCAGCCUCCGGAGUAGCUGGGACUACAGGCGCCCGCCACCACGCCCGGCUAAUUUUUUGUAUUUUUAGUAGAGAUGGGGUUUCACCGUGUUAGCCAGGAUGGUCUCGAUCUCCUGACCUCAGGUGAUCCGCCUGCCUUGGCCUCCCAAAGUGCUGGGAUUACAGGCAUGAGCCACCGCACCUGGCCCAGUCCUGCCAAGACAAAGUUUUAAAACACAGGUUGCACAUUGGCAGCUCUCAAGCCAAAUCUGGCCCAUAGACAUGGUUUGCUUGGCCUAUAAUGUUAGUAAUACUUGACCCAAGAUUUAAAAUUUGAAAAGUUUCAUAUAAAAAUAUAGAUUUACAGCUUUUCUAGAAAAACUAUAAGAGUUAACAGUUUCUGAAUUGCAACAGCAGCUGGAACACCGUUGCCACUGACCAUUUAGAUGACUGCUGCAGUCCCCACGGCUCACUCUGGUUCAGGUAGGGGUUCUAGUUUGUAACCCCUGGUUUAAAACAUAACUGACUCUCUAGUUUUUAAAAUUCUCUCAAAAUCAAAUAACCUGAACUAGCAAAUGAUCUAGAUCCUCGUACAUGGAACUCAUACUAAGUUGACCACAGACAGUGGCUCCCAAACUCUGCAGUACAUCAGAGUCACUGGGAAGCUUUAAAAAAUCCUGCUCCCUAGCUGGGUGCAGUGGUUUAUGCCUGUAGCCCCAGCUACUUGAGAGGCUGAGGUGGGAGGAUUGCUCAAGCCCAGGAGUUUGAGGCUGCAGUGAGCCAUGAAUGUACCACUACACUCCAGCCUGGGCAACAGAGCAAGACCCCAACUCUAAAAAAAAAUCCUGCUCCCCAGGUGACAGUAUCUGGGGGAAGGAGUAAGGCAUCUUAUUUUCAAAAGAUCAUAAGAAAAGAGGCUCAUUGCUGAGGCUCACUCCGGAGCCCACUUGGAUUCUUCACAAGAAAGUUUCCCUCUUCCAGAAUUUUAUAAUUGAGGGAACCGACUAGGGAAAGAUUAAUUUGCCCAAGGUCAAACAACUAGUAAAAGAAGUAAGGAUUCCAACCCAGAUCUUUUGACUCUAUUAUCCUUACAUAUAGUUUUAUAGUGAUUUAAAUUGAUACAAGGAUAGGUUUAAAUACAAGUAGAAUGCAGGUUCAUAUAAAACUGAUUUUAUCCUCAUGUUAGAAAACAUAUACACUGUAACAGAGGGAUGACCAUCAAGUGACCAAGAUAUUUUAGUCAAAAGAUGAAUUUUUCUGCAAUUGGAGAAUGCCAAAAAUAUUCAAAGAAAAUAUAAGUCUUGUAGGCAGUCUUCUAUCAAAACCCACUGAACCGCUGGGCACGGUGGCUCAUGCCUGUAAUUCCAGCACUUUGGGAGGCCAAGGCUGGUGGAUCACCUGAGGUCAGGAGUUUGAGACCAGCCUGGCCGACAUGGUCUCUACUAAAAAUACAAAAAAUUAGCUGGGCCUGGUGGCGGCACCUGUAAUCCCAGCUACUGAGGAGGCUGAGGCAGGAGAAUUGUUUGAACCUUGGAGGUAGAGGCUGCAGUGAGCUGAGAUAGCACCACUGCACUCCAGCCUGGGUAACAAGAGUGAAACUCCAUUCAAAAACAAAAAACAAACAAAAAAAAAACAAUGCACCAAAUACUAAGUUAUUAACUAGGAUACUGAUUAUUAAGCAUGUAAAACAUUUUAUGGAACUCAGAGUUUGAUGUAAAUUGCUAUAUUUUAUAAUUCAAACAAACCUUGUUUCAUGUCAUUAUAUUAGAGUAGCAUUAUGAGACAGGAUAUAGUGUAAGCUAUAUCCCCAAUAUAAUUGCAACUGUAUAUUUUAAAGCAUGGGGAAAAUAUGAAAAGAAUUAUGCUCAAAUGUGGGUAGGAUUAUAACUGAUUUGUUUUCUUCAUUUUCAGAUUUUUCUAUAAUGACUAUACAUUAUUUUUAUAGUCAAAAAUAGAAGUAUUUUAAAUGUUUCUAGGUAGAAUAGCAAAUUAGCUGAAAUAGUAUCUCCAACGUUAUUAUCAAGACUAGACUCCUUGGGUAAAUUGGUCAGAACAGUGUUGUUCUCAUUUUACACCUCUCCAAGAUUAACUAUGUUUUAGAUUUGUGUGUGUGUUUGGUUAAAGAGCCAGGAUGAAGAUCCAGAGUUCUUAAACCUGUAUACCACCAUACUACAUUGUCAUUUUAAAGAAAUGUCUAGUAGACUCGGUGGCAUAAACAUGGGCCAUUUACAAACUAGAUGUCUAAUAUCAGAUACCUCAAAUUUGACAGUAGACUUUUUUUCAAAGCUAAAGUGGUCUUAUGUUGACUAUUUUGUUUCUUACUUGAUACUUGUUUACUUUUUAAUUUUUGGCAAGUAAUGUUUCAAGUUAAAGUUUUAGCUAUAUAUAGCAGGCAGUAUUUCAAGUAAAUGAGUUACAUCAGUAAACACCUCUGUAUUACUAAACUGAGAAUCAGAAAAUGUAAUCUCUUUGGCAGGAUUCGUAUGUUUGUAUCACGUCUUUAUCCUCAGGCAACUUUUAUCUUGGAAUACUGAACCAGCAGUCAGAAUAUGAGGGACAUUAGACUGUGUUAUAGUUACUGUUCUGUCCUUAAGUCACUUGCCUUCUCUAAGUGUCAGUUGCCUCAUCUGAAAAUGGAGUUAGCAGACCCCAGCCUAUCCUGAGUUUGAGGGCUAAAGGGAAUUAUUCUUGAAAAUGUCUAUACAUGAUAAAUGUCACAAAUAUAACUUAGCAUUUUUUUUUUGAGACAGAGUUUCGCUCUUGUGGCCCAGGUCGGGGUGCAAUGUCGUGAUCUCAGCUCACUGCAACCUCUGCCUCCCGGGUUCAAGCGAUUCUCCUGCCUCAGCCUCCUGAGUAGCUGGGAUUACAGGCAUGCACCACCACACCUGGCUAAUUUUGUAUUUUUUAAUAGAGACGGGGUUUCACCAUGUUGGUCAGGUUGGUCUCGAACUCCUACCCUCCGGUGAUCCACCCGCCUUGGCCUCCCAAAGUGCUGGGAUUACAGGCAUGAGCCACCGCACCUAGCCAAUUCUACUUCUAUUACAUUUUCAGCAUAUAUCACUUCAUUGCUCCUCCAUAUUAUUUUUCACUGGUCUUCUUACAUCUUGUGUGCCCAUAUUUAAGUAGUUUUCUUUCCAGGUAAAAAAUACAUGUGUGCCUAAAAGAUUUUAAAGUCAACUUUUCAUAAACCAUACCUAAAUUAUCAAAGUUAUUAGAAUUAUUAGAAAGUAUUAGCUAAUUCUUUUAUAAAAUGUAGACUUUAUUAUUUUAGAAAUAUUGAUUCCUCUCUAUUCAGCUAUCUUAAAGAGGGUAUAUUUUAAUCAUCGCAAUAUAUUACCUUCAUAGUAUUUUUUACUUUUGCAAAGUAUAUUUUGUCAUGUUAUUUCAUUUAGGAAUGCACUAAAUCUACAUAUCUACAUAUGAUUAUACAAGGAAACAUCUUUGUCUCAAAAAUGGGUUCUAUUACAUUUUUUAAUUUCCAGGGGUCAUGAUAUAUAAAAAGACCUGAUUUAUCUUAAAAAUACAUACUUUUAUUCUUACCUACCAUACAUCUUUUUUUGUGAUAAUCAGAAGGCUUAAUUUACUAUAAAAUAGGAAAACAACAGCUAUGUUAGAUUAUAUAGUUAAUUUAGGGAUUAAAUGAGUUAAGGUCUACAAGCCCCUGGCACAUGGCAGACAAUCAAUAAUUGAUCAUUUCCUUUGCAUCUAUAAAUUUGUUCAUUCACUUCUCAUGUGGUUCUACCUUAGACAACGAUUUUUGUUUACAGAGACAAAUAGAAGUAUCUAAUCCUAAAUAACCCAAUCAAUUGGUAAAGGCUACACUACAAAGCUGGCAUGACUUCACCAAAUGCUAGAGAAACAGUGUUAAGAGUGACAACACUAAAAGUCUUACACUCUGAUGAUGCUAGUUGCCGCCGAAUUGCUUCCCCUACCAGUUCCUUAAGUUUCUUCUUAUGAUCCCGGCUGGUUUUCUUAUAGAAAUAAAGAUCUUUUUCCAACUGCUGGAUUUUAUCUUCAUAUGUUUUGAAAGUUUCCAUAAUGCCUUCUCCAUCUUGUUCUAUACAACAAAAAUUUGCAUUUAAAAUCAGUUUUAAAUAAAUGAUGCAAAAUUAUG